rnacentral:rRNA from 1 species
GAUGAACGCUAGCUACAGGCUUAACACAUGCAAGUCGAGGGGUAACAAGGGGAAAGCUUGCUUUCCUUGUUGACGACCGGCGCACGGGUGAGUAACGCGUAUCCAACCUGCCUAUAACUAGGGAAUAACCUUGCGAAAGUAAGACUAAUACCCUAUGAUUUCCUUUGAUGACAUCAGAUUAGGAAUAAAGAUUUAUCGGUUAUAGAUGGGGAUGCGUCAGAUUAGCUUGUUGGCGGGGUAACGGCCCACAAAGGCAACGAUCAGUAGGGGUUCUGAGAGGAAGGUCCCCCACAUUGGAACUGAGACACGGUCCAAACUCCUACGGGAGGCAGCAGUGAGGAAUAUUGGUCAAUGGGCGGAAGCCUGAACCAGCCAAGUAGCGUGCAGGAUGACGGCCCUAUGGGUUGUAAACUGCUUCUAUACAGGAAUAAAGUUAGCCACGUGUGGUUAUUUGUAGGUACUGUAUGAAUAAGGACCGGCUAAUUCCGUGCCAGCAGCCGCAGUAA